UUUUUUUUUUCCUCUGAAAUUUCUGUUUUUGAAGAAAAAGAACACAGAUCUCUUUAUGGCAGCAGAUGAUGCGCAUGUUUGUAGAAUGCCUAGUGCUCGGGAUUGCUUUGGGCCGAAUUCAAGCGGCAUUGAACCACGCAAAGUUUACUUCAACCAUACUGAUACAGUUGAACGCAGAGAGUAUGGCCCCCCUGCUGGUGCUAAUUUUAUGCCACCAAGCCCUCGCAAUCCGCAAGAACGAACUCCGACUUGUCUUGGGAUUGAAAUAAAGACAUUGUUAAAGAUCUUUAGGGCUCGGAAGGAACAAGGAAAGCAGUCCUGAAUCAUUCCUCAUAUCUAAUGUACAUGGUAGACGCUUAUGUUAAGCGGCAAGGCUCUGGCUCCCUCUUAUGAUUUUGCAUAUCUACCGCAAAUGCAAAUUGAAUUUCCCCUUUUCUGCUUCAGCUUUGCAUCGAUAUUUUUAGCAUGUUUGGUUCAAAUUUUUGGAAGGGCUAAAACCGCUUUUAGAUAACUAAAAUAAUUUUUUACACUAUUUUUUUUAGUACAAGCGAUAGUCUAAACUAGAGGGGAGGAGGUUACUCACCCCAAUUUCCUAAUCAUCCAGUUAGAUUCGAAUUUUCUUUCUAAGUUGUGAAUUUUGGCAUAGCUUUGAGGUGUAACAUGAAAUCCAUAGAAAAAUAAAAAAUAAAAAAUCAGAGGCUCUGCCUUUACG